UACGGAGGGUGCAAGCGUUAAUCGGAAUUACUGGGCGUAAAGCGUGCGUAGGCGGUUUGUUAAGUCUGCUGUGAAAUCCCCGAGCUCAACUUGGGAAUUGCAGUGGAUACUGGCAGGCUGGAGUAUGGUAGAGGAAGGUGGAAUUCCCGGUGUAGCAGUGAAAUGCGUAGAGAUCGGGAGGAACACCAGUGGCGAAGGCGGCCUUCUGGACCAAUACUGACGCUCAUGCACGAAAGCGUGGGGAGCAAACAGG
rnacentral:rRNA from 1 species